rnacentral:rRNA from 1 species
AACGAACGCUGGCGGCAGGCCUAACACAUGCAAGUCGAGCGAAGCCUUCGGGCUUAGCUGCGGACGGGUGAGUAACGCGUGGGAACGUGCCCUUUGGUACGGAAUAGCCCCGGGAAACUGGGAGUAAUACCGUAUGUGGUCGAGAGACGAAAGAUUUAUCGCCAAAGGAUCGGCCCGCGUUGGAUUAGGUAGUUGGUGGGGUAAUGGCCUACCAAGCCGACGAUCCAUAGCUGGUUUGAGAGGAUGAUCAGCCACACUGGGACUGGGACACGGCCCAGACUCCUACGGGAGGCAGCAGUGGGGAAUUUUAGACAAUGGGGGAAACCCUGAUCUAGCCAUGCCGCGUGAUCGAUGAAGGCCUUAGGGUUGUAAAGAUCUUUCAGUGGGGAAGAUAAUGACUGUACCCACAGAAGAAGCCCCGGCUAACUCCGUGCCAGCCGCCGCAGUAAUAC